rnacentral:rRNA from 13 species
CACAGACAGCUAGGAGGUUGGCUUAGAAGCAGCCAUCCUUUAAAGAAAGCGUAAUAGCUCACUAGUCGAGUCGGCCUGCGCGGAAGAUGUAACGGGGCUCAAACUGGUUACCGAAGCUGCGGCUGUGCACGCAAGUGCACGGGGUAGGGGAGCGUUCUGUAAGCCUGCGAAGGUGUGUCGAGAGGCAUGCUGGAGGUAUCAGAAGUGCGAAUGCUGACAUGAGUAACGAUAAUGGGGGUGAAAAACCUCCACGCCGGAAGACCAAGGGUUCCUGCGCAACGCUAAUCGGCGCAGGGUGAGCCGGCCCCUAAGACGAGCCCGAAGGGGGUAGUCGAUGGGAACCACGUUAAUAUUCGUGGGCCAGGAGGAUGUGACGGAUCAUGAAGGUUGUUCACUCUUAUUGGAUUGAGUGGGCCGCUAAUUGGUUCCUGGAAAUAGCCCUCCAUCAGACCGUACCCUAAACCAACACAGGUGGACUGGUAGAGAAUACCAAGGCGCUUGAGAGAACUAUCUUGAAGGAACUCGGCAAAAUACCUCCGUAAGUUCGCGAGAAGGAGGCCCAGUUCUAAGGCAACUUGGAGCUGGGGGCACAAACCAGGGGGUGGCGACUGUUUACUAAAAACACAGGGCUCUGCGAAGUCGCAAGACGACGUAUAGGGUCUGACGCCUGCCCGGUGCCUGAAGGUUAAAAGGAGGGGUGAGAGCUCUGAAUUGAAGCCCAGGUAAACGGCGGCCGUAACAAUAACGGUCCUAAGGUAGCGAAAUUCCUUGUCGGGUAAGUUCCGACCUGCACGAAUGGCGUAACGACUUCCCCACUGUCUCAACUGGAGGCCCAGCGAAAUUGGAGUGCGCGUGCAGAUACGCGCUACCCGCAGAAGGACGAAAAGACCCCGUGAACCUUUACUGUAGCUUGGCAUUGGGUUUCGAAUAACAUUGCGUAGGAUAGGUGGGAGUUUUUGAUCUGUGCAUUCCGGUGUACAGGGAGACAACCUUGAAAUACCACCCUUUGUUAUUUGGAAUCCUAACCUACUGUCGUUAUCCGGCAGGGGGACAAUGUCUGGUGGGCAGUUUGACUGGGGCGGUCGCCUCCUAAACAGUAACGGAGGCGCACGAAGGUUCCCUCAGGCCGUAUGGAAACCGGCCGUAGAGUGUAAGCGCAUAAGGGAGCUUGACUGUGAGACUUACAAGUCGAGCAGGUACGAAAGUAGGUGUUAGUGAUCCGGUGGUUCCGCGUGGAAGGGCCAUCGCUCAACGGAUAAAAGGUACUCCGGGGAUAACAGGCUGAUACCGCCCAAGAGUUCACAUCGACGGCGGUGUUUGGCACCUCGAUGUCGGCUCAUCACAUCCUGGGGCUGAAGCCGGUCCCAAGGGUAUGGCUGUUCGCCAUUUAAAGUGGUACGCGAGCUGGGUUUAGAACGUCGUGAGACAGUUCGGUCCCUAUCUGCCGUGGACGUUGGAGAUUUGAGGAAAGCUGCUCCUAGUACGAGAGGACCGGAGUGGACGAACCUCUGGUGUUCCGGUUGUUUCGCCAGAAGCAUUGCCGGGUAGCUAAGUUCGGACGGGAUAACCGCUGAAAGCAUCUAAGCGGGAAGCCUCCCUCGAAACCAGAAUUCCCUUGAGAACCGUGGAAGACCACCACGUUGAUAGGCCGGGUGUGGAAGAGCAGUAAUGUGUGGAGCUAACCGGUCCUAAUAGUUCUU